CCUGAAAUACGGAUCCACGCGGAUCAAAUGCGGAUCGGGCUGAAAUGCGGAUCAACGCGGAACGCUCGCGGAUCUCUAUUGAAACUUGACUGAUCUGUCUGAAAGAAUGAUAUCUAUGCAUCAGGAGGGAAUUUUUAUUAGCUCUAUUUAAGUUUUUGAUAAGAACUUCAUCAUUUUAGCAGUUUCAGAACAGUAUCUACUUGAGCUGACCAUAACUUCAAGAUUUAUGUGUGAAUGUGAUUCAGAACAAUAACAUCUUAUAAUGGAUCCUUUAAGAAAUAAUUAUAAUAAAUUCAUAAGUUUUUAAUGACACAGUGAUAUUAUAGCUUUAA